AUUGAACGCUGGCGGCAUGCUUUACACAUGCAAGUCGAACGGUAACAGGGUGCUUGCACCGCUGACGAGUGGCGAACGGGUGAGUAAUGCGUCGGAACGUGCCGAGUAGUGGGGGAUAACGCAGCGAAAGUUGUGCUAAUACCGCAUACGUACUGAGGUAGAAAGUGGGGGACCUUCGGGCCUCACGCUAUUCGAGCGGCCGACGUCUGAUUAGCUAGUAGGUGAGGUAAAGGCUCACCUAGGCGACGAUCAGUAGCGGGUCUGAGAGGAUGAUCCGCCACACUGGGACUGAGACACGGCCCAGACUCCUACGGGAGGCAGCAGUGGGGAAUUUUGGACGAUGGGCGAAAGCCUGAUCCAGCCAUGCCGCGUGUCUGAAGAAGGCCUUCGGGUUGUAAAGGACUUUUGUCAGGGAGGAAAUCCCUAGUGCUAAUAACACUGGGGGAUGACAGUACCUGAAGAACAAGCACCGGCUAACUACGUGCCAGCAGCCGCGGUAA
rnacentral:rRNA from 1 species